AAAACAGAAGGAGGUGAAACGCUCUCACCGACUACCAGCUCGAAGCACCCACCUGUACUAGUGUCGCACCUGUCUCCCAACUGUACACGAUCGUCAACCGGACCUACGAAGGUCCACCAGGUUAGUAACCAACCCACUAACCCAAAGUACGAGACGCACAAACCCCCACACAAGUCCCCUGAUCGGUUUUUCCAAAACCGAUCACCGUAACUCACCGACAGUCCCGAAAAACACACCGGGACGCCGUCAGGACCCACUAAGUGUCCCGAAACUCACCGAC
rnacentral:lncRNA from 1 species